UACGUAGGGGGCAAGCGUUGUCCGGAUUUAUUGGGCGUAAAGAGCUCGUAGGUGGUUUGGUAAGUCGGAUGUGAAAUCUCCAGGCUCAACCUGGAGGGGUCAUUCGAUACUGCCGUGACUAGAGGUCGGUAGGGGAGUGUGGAAUUCCUGGUGGAGCGGUGAAAUGCGCAGAUAUCAGGAGGAACACCCGUAGCGAAGGCGGCACUCUGGGCCGAUACUGACACUGAGGAGCGAAAGCGUGGGGAGCGAACAGG
rnacentral:rRNA from 1 species